rnacentral:lncRNA from 1 species
UUUUAUUUUAUUUAUAUCUUUUAUGAUCCUUGAACAUAUCAAGUACACUUGUGUUUGCUUUUACAUGACUUCUAUGGAAACUUGAAUUAGUGUGUUUUCUGUUCGCUUUCAGACAUUUUUCUUUGUGCUUUCCUGAUGUUCAAUACAUUUAUAUUAAGGCGGGAGAUUGAGAAUGCCAGUUGAGAAGUGACUUGGUCUACUACUAUACAUAUGUUACGAAUGAUUGACAAAAGUGUUGAGCUUCCAUGGUGCCUAGUAUGUUACAUUGGAUGAUGAUCUGUAGGUGUCCCGAAGAUAAUGGAUAAAACUAACAAAGUGCAGUUGAUAGUCAAUGAAGUCACUUCUUGGUGAGGCAUUUAACAUAUUAUUACUGAUCCACAUUUGUGUUCACGGAACCACGCGCGUAUCAGAUUCUAGCUAGAGGCUGUAAGUACAACGAUACGGAUGCACGGAACCGUUGUUCGGUGUAGCAUUAACUGAAAUGCAUCUGCUCGAUCUACUUGUGCUCUGCAUGCU